rnacentral:rRNA from 1 species
CAGCAGCCGCGGGAAUACGAGGGGAGCUAGCGUUGUUCGGAAUUACUGGGCGUAAAGCGCGCGUAGGCGGCUUUUUAAGUCAGAGGUGAAAGCCCGGGGCUCAACCCCGGAAUUGCCUUUGAAACUGGAAAGCUAGAAUCUUGGAGAGGUCAGUGGAAUUCCGAGUGUAGAGGUGAAAUUCGUAGAUAUUCGGAAGAACACCAGUGGCGAAGGCGACUGACUGGACAAGUAUUGACGCUGAGGUGCGAAAGCGUGGGUAGCAAACAGGAUUAGAUACCCGUGUAGUCCCUGUCUCUUAUAA